UGGCAAGUCUCAUAGGAUGGGCUGGUGCUACCCCCAUGUUCUAUAAGAUGGAUCGGUUGAAUGAAGCUUUGUUUAUAUAUUGAUAAUGAAGAAAUAUAUCGUGUCUUGACUAAUUGCGUGCCAGCAGUCGCGGUAAUACGUAAGAGACUAGUGUUAUUCAUCUUAAUAAGGUUUAAAGGGUACCCAGACGGUCAAUAUAGCUUCUAAAAUGUUAGUACUUGACUAGAGUUUUAUGUAAGAGGGCAGUACUUGAGGAGGAGAGAUGAAAUUCCGUGAUACCAAAGGGACUCUGUAAAGGCGAAGGCAGCCCUCUAUGUAAAAACUGACGUUGAAGGACGAAGGCACAGAGAACAAACAGGAUUAGAUACCCAAGUAGUCUUUGCAGUAAAUGAUGAAUGCCAUAGGUUUUUAUUAAUGUAGAUGAGGGACUAGACUUUAAACGGGUGUUUGGUCUAUCACUGAAAGUGUAAGCAUUCCACCUCAAGAGUAAUGUGGCAACGCAGGAACUGAAAUCACUAGACCGUUUCUGACACCAGUAGUGAAGUAUGUUAUUUAAU
rnacentral:rRNA from 1 species